GAUGAACGCUGGCGGCGUGCUUAACACAUGCAAGUCGAACGAAGCACUUAAGAUUGAUUCUUCGGAUGACGUCUUUUGUGACUUAGUGGCGGACGGGUGAGUAACGCGUGGGUAACUGCCUCACACAGGGGGAUAACAGUUAGAAAUGACUGCUAAUACCGCAUAACCCGAUAGGAUCGCAUGAUCCAGACGGAAAAGAUUUAUCGGUGUGAGAUGGACCCGCGUCUGAUUAGCUAGUUGGUGAGGUAACGGCCCACCAAGGCGACGAUCAGUAGCCGGCCUGAGAGGGUGAACGGCCACAUUGGGACUGAGACACGGCCCAAACUCCUACGGGAGGCAGCAGUGGGGAAUAUUGCACAAUGGGGGAAACCCUGAUGCAGCGACGCCGCGUGAGUGAAGAAGUAUUUCGGUAUGUAAAGCUCUAUCAGCAGGGAAGAAAAUGACGGUACCUGACUAAGAAGCCCCGGCUAACUACGUG
rnacentral:rRNA from 1 species